UACGAAGGGGGCUAGCGUUGCUCGGAAUCACUGGGCGUAAAGGGUGCGUAGGCGGGUCUUUAAGUCAGGGGGGAAAUCCUGGAGCUCAACUCCAGAACUGCCUUUGAUACUGAAGAUCUUGAGUUCGGGAGAGGUGAGUGGAACUGCGAGUGUAGAGGUGAAAUUCGUAGAUAUUCGCAAGAACACCAGUGGCGAAGGCGGCUCACUGGCCCAUUACUGACGCUGAGGCACGAAAGCGUGGGGAGCAAACAGG
rnacentral:rRNA from 1 species